rnacentral:rRNA from 1 species
UUACGGCCUUAUCAUGUUGAAACACCAGGUUCCUCUACAAUCCCCAAAGUUAAGCAACGUCGAGCCUGAUCAGUACCUAGAUGGGUGACUGCUUGGGAAACUUU